GUAGGUGGCAAGCGUUGUCCGGAAUUAUUGGGCGUAAAGCGCGCGCAGGCGGUUCUUUAAGUCUGAUGUGAAAGCCCACGGCUCAACCGUGGAGGGUCAUUGGAAACUGGAGAACUUGAGUACAGAAGAGGAAAGCGGAAUUCCACGUGUAGCGGUGAAAUGCGUAGAGAUGUGGAGGAACACCAGUGGCGAAGGCGGCUUUCUGGUCUGUAACUGACGCUGAGGCGCGAAAGCGUGGGGAGCAAACAGGGAUUAGAUACCCGUGGUAGUCCACGCCGUAAACGAUGAGUGCUAAGUGUUACGGGGGUUUCCGCCCCCUUAGUGCUGCAGCUAACGCAUUAAGCACUCCGCCGUGGGGAGUACGGCCGCAAGGCUG
rnacentral:rRNA from 1 species